CAAAUGGGUGGAGUGGAGAAAGUGUUUACGCAAUAUUUUAGUGUGACAGAAGGAGAGAGGCUAUCAAAAGUUUCACAGUGUUAUCUAUCCACCACAUCUGGUCCUCUAGCUGGUCUGCUCUUCAUCUCCAAUGAAAAGGUUGCCUUCUGCAGUGAGAGAUCAAUAAAAGUCUUCAAUCAGAAAGGUCAAAUGCGUAGGAUCCGAUAUAAGGUAUGUCCUGAACUAAAUAAGUACAUAAACAAAACUCUUCUUACAUCUCAGUUUCCCUAAUCCAAUAUUUGUUAUGUGCAGGUGGCCAUUCCACUGAAGAAUAUCAAGUGUGUGAAUCAAAGUCAAAAUGUUGAGAAGCCAACACAAAAGUACAUAAAGAUAGUUACAGAAGACGGUUUUGAUUUCUGGCUUAUGGGUGUUCUAAAAUAUCAGAAAACUUUCAAAUAUCUCGAGCAGGCAAUUUCUCAAUCAAGAGUAGAUGAAUAUAACAAGUCCACUAUUAGUGCAUAAUAACAAAGAAUUUAAGAUAUAACAUACAACAUGCAACGAAAUUACAGUUGUUAUUUGACCUGAGAUUGACCGUUGAAAAUAGAUGCACAUGGUUCAUUCAUAUCGUAUCAGAUGCAAAUUUUGCUGUCAACAUAUUGUUGAUAAAGUUAUUGAUGCAAGAGAUCAUUCGGCGCGUGCUCUUUAACAAAACCCCAUGCCAUGACUG
rnacentral:lncRNA from 1 species